UCCUCUAAGUUAUACCCACUGAUGAAACCCAUAGGACACCUGUGUGGCCCUCAGGGAGAACAGGAAGGACUCGGCUACCCACCCAGUCCCAGGGACCAGGGGCAUCACAUCCUACAGCUCCUACUUUGGAGAGGGUGCUUUCAGGGUACCUGUGCAGAUCCUGGGAGGUGACUGGCACUUUUCCAUGGCAGAAGAGACUCUGCAGGUGGGAUCAGGGGAGACCCUGAGCUGGGGUCUGUGGUCACCACAGGUCCCAUGAGAGGACGCAGGAGGGUCAAAAUCAGACAGUCUGGGAGACACUGCUGCUGGCCCUGGAGCUGGAGGAGGGGGCAGGAGCUCAGGGCUGAGGGGGCUUAGGAGCUGGAAGAGGGGGACAUGGACUCUCAGGGGCCUCAGGAAUUCUAGGAGGCCCCAGGUCUUUGAGGGGAUCAUUUGGGGCCCCUUCAAGGCCCUGAACUUGUGCUGACUUGUUGCAGCAGCCAUAGGAGACUCAUCCAGGCAGGAACACGGCGGCCUUCCCCAUUCCCAUCUUGCAGAGGGGGAAAGCAAGGAAGGUCCAGCCAGCUGGUCCCCGACUGCAGCAGCCUGGGCUGCGGUGUGAGGAUGCGCCGAGGUCUGGCUCAGGCUGCCUUCCCCCUGGUGCGUGGAUCUGCUGCGCUGCCAAACCCUCCAGCGACCUACCGCCGGGCGGCAAGGCCACCGGCCACCAGCCUGCCCCGUCUGCGGGGUCUCCACCGCGCCACACCCUUUUCCACUCCGUGGACGUGCCUUUCGGGAGGACGAUCUCUGGGGCUCAGCUCGCUCUCCGCCCCAAGAAAUACACAGAAGCAGUCUGAUGUCUGCACUCCUCUUCAGAUCACCACCGGAGAGCCAAGCCAGCCUCCCAUCCCAUGGGAUUAACAGACAUGCCAGAAAAUCGGGAGUUAAAAAGAGACUGGGUCUUCAAAGCUGUAUGAUGAAGAUAGCAUAGCUGGAGGCCGGAGGCCGGAGUCGGGGAGGCAGGCUGACCCUGAGACUCUGUGGUCAGCCGAGAGACCAAGAAGUCAGAACCAGAAAGACAGGGUCACCAAGCUACUGAGACAGCCAAUAGUCUGUCCUGCUCUGAAAAUACGACCAGGGCCUCUCCCUGCCAUAGCACAUGCCUAGAACGCCUGCUGCCAUGACAGGGUCACAUUGGCUGUGUCAGCUUACAAAAUCAGCCCCAAGGUGGGGAGUACAAUGCGA